rnacentral:rRNA from 1 species
UACGUAGGGGGCGAGCGUUGUCCGGAUUUACUGGGCGUAAAGCGCGUGUAGGUGGCGGCUUAAGUCGGGUGUGAAAGCCCGGGGCUCAACCCCGGGAUGCCGCUCGAGACUGGGUCGGCUUGAGGACGGAAGAGGGGCGUGAAUUCCUGGUGUAGCGGUGAAAUGCGUAGAGAUCAGGAGGAACACCCGUGGCGAAGGCGGCGCCCUGGUCCGUCCCUGACGCUGAGACGCGAAAGCGCGGGGGAGCGAAC